rnacentral:rRNA from 1 species
CCUACGGGAGGCAGCAGUGGGGAAUAUUGCACAAUGGAGGAAACUCUGAUGCAGCGACGCCGCGUGAGUGAAGAAGUAGUUCGCUAUGUAAAGCUCUAUCAGCAGGGAAGAUAGUGACGGUACCUGACUAAGAAGCUCCGGCUAAAUACGUGCCAGCAGCCGCGGUAAUACGUAUGGAGCAAGCAUUAUCCGGAUUUACUGGGUGUAAAGGGAGUGUAGGUGUCCAGGCAAGUCAGAAGUGAAAGCCCGGGGCUCAACCCCGGGACUGCUUUUGAAACUGCAGGGCUAGAGUGCAGGAGGGGCAAGUGGAAUUCCUAGUGUAGCGGUGAAAUGCGUAGAUAUUAGGAGGAACACCAGUGGCGAAGGCGGCUUGCUGGACUGUAACUGACACUGAGGCUCGAAAGCGUGGGGAGCAAACAGAAGGAGACUCCCUGGUAGUCCACGCCGUA